rnacentral:piRNA from 1 species
UUCUCCUUUGAUUGUGUAAUUAUACCAAUAA